UGAACAGUAUGUAAUAAUUUUAUAUUUAAAGUACUUUCAGCAGUUUUUGAAUUCUGAUUGUGACCAGACUUUUCCUUUUACAUAUUUGUUACGCCAGUUCAGGACGUGACAGCCUGCAUUAGUUUGGGACGUGACGGACUGCAUUUCCCAUGAUGCAAUGUGGUCAAAAUGGCCACCAACUCCCAUCAUGCAACACGGUCCAAAAUGGCCGCUGACCCUAAUGAUGGACGGAAAGAUAACGUUUCUAUGGGAAAGGUAUUUAUUCCGAUCGCACACUGUGAUCUUUCUUCUUUGGCACACCGCCACACCGGGAAGACAGACAGCGGUUUCACUCCGUGGGUCCCCCCCGUGCCACAUGCUCUAGCUUCUCGCUGGACUGAGGAUUUUUGGAGCAAAACCAUCCCUCUGUUGGACAGGAGGUCGACUUUAAAUAGUACUUUUGAAUUCCCUUUGAUCAAAGACUGAGAGCCGCCUUAUCUCCCAGUGAUCGUAAAAGGGACCACGCUUUCGUUUUGGCCAAGCAAAGCAUCCCGGAGAGCCCAGAGACUCCGGGGAUUUUCCUCAAGUAUCCUCGCUGACCGAAGGACCGACCGCCGGAGCUGCGGAGACCAGAUUCGGGGACCCCCCCUCUCCUUGCUGCCUGAUGGACCUGCGUUCGUGCAGGUCCGUCAGGUCCUGCGCUCUUUGUGAACCUCGGUUUGCACCCUUCUCUUGAGUCUCUCAUUCAGGACUUCUCUUUAAUCAAGGUGUCACCCGACAUCAGCGUAAGCGUUGAUUACGUCAUUAAGACCUCCCCCUUUACGUAUCAAGCAAGGUGAUGCGUAAAGGGUCACGUGUCGUCAUAGUCGCCAUCUUGGGGAGGUGCAACUGGCUAAGCUGUGUCAGGGUUCUCUGUUUGGCCGGUGCUCUAACUCUGCUUCACAGGUGGUUCUAGUUUGCUGGGGGUCGUUUGGAGCACUGUUUACUGUCGUCUUAAGGAAGGCACAGACAGAAGGAAGACGCCAGAGCCUUACCCAGUCAUGUUUUGUGUUUGGAUAACUCACCCGCCUUGACGUCUCGCUCUACGAACCAGCUUCCAAGAAUCCCUGAAGCUCAGAUGUUGCUCUGGCAUUCCCCCUCGUACUCUCUGGAUGUUACCAGGAUGGGCUCGAGGUUCCCUUCCCUGGAUUCUGCUGGUUCCCUCUGAUCUCUGGUCAAACCGUCUGUCUCCCCUGUCUGUCGUGGUUCGCUCCGGAUCCCUCGCCGCCUUGCCAUCAGUCUGCCCUCCAGUUGCUAACCACCGGCUAUCCUCGUGAGCACUCGGCCUCAGAGUUUCCCUCACCUUCCCCUCCCCGGUUAGGUUCGCUCAACUAAAUAUUCCUCCGGCAUUGACGUUCAGACCUUGACGGAUCUCCACACCCAUGCAAUGAUCCCUGUACCUGAACCAUUUAAUAAACACCUUUAAACUGCACUCUCUCUUCCGUAUUGUGUCUGCAUGUGGG